rnacentral:rRNA from 1 species
AACGAACGCUGGCGGCAGGCUUAACACAUGCAAGUCGAACGCCCCGCCAAGGGGAGGUGGCAGACGGGUGAGUAACACGUGGGAAUGUGCCCCAAGGUACGGGAAUAUUCUCGGGAAACUGAGAGCAAUACCGUAUGUGGCCGAGAGGCGAAAGAUUUAUCGCCUUGGGAUCAGCCCGCGUUGGAUUAGCUAGUUGGUGGGGUAAAAGGACCUACCAAGGCGACGAUCCAUAGCUGGUCUGAGAGGACGGACCAGCCACACUGGGACUGAGACACGGCCCAGACUCCUACGGGAGGGCAGCAGUGGGGAAGUAUUGGACAAUGGGCGGCAAGCCUGAUCCAGCAAUGCCGCGUGUGUGAAGAAGGCCUGCGGGUUGU